rnacentral:sRNA from 1 species
GCAUAUAAUGAUACUGGUUAAAUUAGCCAGUGAUGCUUUAUUUUCAAAGAAAUGUUACAACUACAGUUUUCUUCUAUUAUCAUCAUCGUUUUCCUUGAAGCGCACUUGCUCUGAAAUUUGGGGACUGAGUACACCAAAUACGAUAGAUCAGUGGGAUACAACAGGCCUUUACAGCUUCUCUGAACAAACCAGGUCUCUUGAUGGUCGUCUCCAGGUAUCCCAUCGAAAAGGAUUGCCACAUGUUAUAUAUUGCCGAUUAUGGCGCUGGCCUGAUCUUCACAGUCAUCAUGAACUCAAGGCAAUUGAAAACUGCGAAUAUGCUUUUAAUCUUAAAAAAGAUGAAGUAUGUGUAAACCCUUACCACUAUCAGAGAGUUGAGACACCAGUUUUGCCUCCAGUAUUAGUGCCCCGACACACCGAGAUUCUAACAGAACUUCCGCCUCUGGAUGACUAUACUCACUCCAUUCCAGAAAACACUAACUUCCCAGCAGGAAUUGAGCCACAGAGUAAUUAUAUUCCAGGUAUUUUUGCCUUCUGAAUCUCCUAAAACUUGGAUAGAUAUAAAUUUUGUUCAUAAACAU